rnacentral:rRNA from 1 species
UGCAACUCGCCUACAUGAAGUCGGAGUUGCUAGUAAUCGCGGAUCAGAAUGCCGCGGUGAAUGCGUUCCCGGGUCUUGUACACACCGCCCGUCACACCAUGGAAGUUGGGGGCGCCCGAAGUUGCCUAAGAAAUAAGGUACCUAAGGCGAAACCAAUGACUGGGUGAAGUCGUAACAAGGUAUC